CACGGGGGAGCAAGCGUUGUUCGGAAUCACUGGGCGUAAAGGGCGUGUAGGCGGUUCGGGAAGUGGAAUGUGAAAUCCCUCGGCUCACCCGAGGACCUGCAUCCCAAACUGCCGAGCUUGAGUAUGGGAGAGGAUGAGGGAAUUCCUGGUGUAGCGGUGAAAUGCGUAGAUAUCAGGAGGAACACCGGUGGCGAAGGCGCUCAUCUGGCCCAAUACUGACGCUGAGGCGCGAAAGCUAGGGGAGCAAACGGG
rnacentral:rRNA from 1 species